AUGCAGCGAUGCCGCGUGAGUGAAGAAGGCCUUUGGGUUGUAAAGCUCUUUCGUCGGGGAAGAAAAUGACUGUACCCGAAUAAGAAGGUCCGGCUAACUUCGUGCCAGCAGCCGCGGUAAUACGAAGGGACCUAGCGUAGUUCGGAAUUACUGGGCUUAAAGAGUUCGUAGGUGGUUAAAAAAGUUGGUGGUGAAAUCCCAGAGCUUAACUCUGGAACUGCCAUCAAAACUUUUUAGCUAGAGUAUGAUAGAGGAAAGCAGAAUUUCUAGUGUAGAGGUGAAAUUCGUAGAUAUUAGAAAGAAUACCAAUUGCGAAGGCAGCUUUCUGGAUCAUUACUGACACUGAGGAACGAAAGCAUGGGUAGCGAAGAGGAUUAGAUACCCUCGUAGUCCAUGCCGUAAACGAUGUGUGUUAGACGUUGGAAAUUUAU
rnacentral:rRNA from 1 species